rnacentral:rRNA from 1 species
UACGUAGGUGGCAAGCGUUGUCCGGAUUUACUGGGCGUAAAGAGCGCGCAGGCGGUCGUUCAAGUCGCGUGUGAAAGCCCCCGGCUCAACUGGGGAGGGUCACGCGAUACUGAUCGACUGGAAGGCAGGAGAGGGUAGUGGAAUUCCCGGUGUAGUGGUGAAAUGCGUAGAUAUCUGGAGGAACACCGGUGGCGAAGGCGGCAUCCUGGACCAACACUGACGCUGAGGAGCGAAAGCCAGGGGAGCAAACGGG